AUUGAACGCUGGCGGCAUGCUUUACACAUGCAAGUCGAACGGUAACAGGUUAAGCUGACGAGUGGCGAACGGGUGAGUAAUGCAUCGGAACGUGCCCGGUCGUGGGGGAUAACGCAGCGAAAGCUGCGCUAAUACCGCAUACGAUCUGAGGAUGAAAGCGGGGGACCGUAAGGCCUCGCGCGAUCGGAGCGGCCGAUGUCAGAUUAGGUAGUUGGUGGGGUAAAGGCUCACCAAGCCGACGAUCUGUAGCUGGUCUGAGAGGACGACCAGCCACACUGGGACUGAGACACGGCCCAGACUCCGACGGGAGGCAGCAGUGGGGAAUUUUGGACAAUGGGCGCAAGCCUGAUCCAGCAAUGCCGCGUGCAGGAAGAAGGCCUUCGGGUUGUAAACUGCUUUUGUACGGAGCGAAAAGGCUCUCUCUAAUACGGAGGGCUCAUGACGGUACCGUAAGAAUAAGCACCGGCUAACUACGUGCCAGCCGCCGCAGUAACAC
rnacentral:rRNA from 1 species